rnacentral:lncRNA from 1 species
ACAUUGCCAACUCGUAGUGGCAUUACUCCUUAAAAAUUUACAUACAAUGUCUACAACAUGUAUUCUAAAAAUUUACAUUAAGUUUGUCUAUACAAAACAAAAUAACACUCGAUUUCCAGCGGAGGGACUCAGAUGAAUAUACAGCUACUGAAUGUCGAGACACCUAUCGAAAGAUGGACACAAGUCUACAAGGACACCUCGUCCUAGUUACCGGCUGCCUCGUGAUCUAAGAACAUGAAUUUGAGAAUGGUGAGUAUAAACCCAGUGAGUGAACAAGGAAGGGAACAAGCAUACCAUAACGAAUCUUUAAUGAAAU